UACGUAGGCAGCAAGCGUCGUUCGGAAUUACUGGGCGUAAAGAGUGUGUAGGUGGUGCUCCAAGUCUGUUGUGAAAUCUCCCGGCUUAACUGGGAGGGUGCGGCGGAAACUGGUGUGCUUGAGGGUGGGAGAGGUAAGCGGAAUUCCUGGUGUAGCGGUGAAAUGCGUAGAUAUCAGGAAGAACACCCGUGGCGAAGGCGGCUCUCUGGGACGGUACUGACGCUGAGACGCAAAAGCGUGGGGAGCGAACAGG
rnacentral:rRNA from 1 species